UAGGACACAGCUGGGUGAAGACGCAAUGUUCAAGGUGUGGUGCAGUUGCAAGCCAGUCGUUUGAGGCGUAGAGGCAAAUGCAUGUUUCAAGUCCACUGAGAUGCUGAGAACAGCACGACACCUGCCUGCUAGCAACCAAGCCUGUCAUUCACGUUCUGGAACCCUACGCACAUCCAUGCAUCUUUUGUUUUAAAAUUGAAUAAACACGUUUGUAAUUC